ACGCUCGAAACAGGAAACGGUUUCGCUGUAAAAGGCGGAUGAAAAGGGAACGCGGUGAGGCCAUCUGGCCAAUUCUGCGACUGCCCCCGCAACUGUAACCGGAGAGCUAUCUUCCAUAAUCGCUGAGGCGAUUAAGCCACUGAGUGCAGACGCAUUCGGGAAGGCGGAAGAACAGCGGCGACCCGGAAGUCAGGAGACCUGCCGUGUCCGGUCACCUAGU
rnacentral:ncRNA from 2 species